UGAACCUCCAUCUUCCAGGUCCUCUGGGAAGGGGAUGAAGAGAAGGAAGCAAAGGGAAGGGAGUGAAUGCCAGGGAAUUUGUAUUUUCAAUUAAAUCCCAGGGACUAAGUGGAAAAGAAAAAAGAGUAUUCAGUCUGGAGCUCUCAAGUCAAGCCGGGGAACUUCUCCUUAAAACAGAUGGAUCAUCUCCAGACACAGAUCCAGAACACGUGAGACCACACUUGUGGUGAAGAAAGCCUGCGGUUCCAGAGAAUCAAAGCCAGCAGAGGGAAUGCCGGGUGCUCCAAAGAGACCGAAGAAGGGAUAUGUUUCCCCUUGCAUCCAUAGAACUAGGAGGUGAACUUUGGCUGCCUCACCUGAUGUCCAGAUAAUGUCAAGACCAGAGGGAAGGCAGUUGGCCUGGGGUUUUCAGUGUUCACAGCAAGAAACCUAGACCCAGGGGGGUGAAUACCAUGUGUGUGAUCCAAACAUUGCCACAGGAAGCCCAAGAUGUCCAGCUCCUGGAGGAUUUUUGUUCCCAGCCACCACCCCCUCAAGAUGUGUUUACCCAGCAAAUCUUCCCAGGGACAAGGGGACUCAAUUCCACACAUGUGUGUCCAAGAUGACAGUCCCUCUGGCAGCUGUGAAAAGCAGCUUCUGUGAGAGUGACAACGGAUGGUGCUGACAACCCCCUCAGCUACUAAGUUUGCUUCUGGAGCAAUGGGAUGCAAGUGACAUCGGACUUAAUGGCUUGUGUUCCUGGAGACAGUUGAGGUGUCAUGAUUUUGCAAUAAUGCUUCUUCCUUUCCUCCAGUCUUGGGGAAGAACGUCCCAGUCCUCAGCCAGGGCUUCCCAGGUGCUUCCAGGGGAGGUUCUUACUCAGUCUGAGCCAAAGCCCAGGGGUGGUGCCCACCCUCACUGGCCAACUCUCCCAGGCUACCUUUGAUUUUCAGCACUAACUCGUGGUUUUCAGCUUUGGAG
rnacentral:lncRNA from 10 species